UACGUAGGUGGCGAGCGUUGUCCGGAAUCAUUGGGCGUAAAGGGUGCGUAGGUGGUUAGAAAAGUUAGAAGUGAAAGGCUAUAGCUCAACUAUAGUAAGCUUUUAAAACUGUUUAACUUGAGGUAUGGAAGGGAAAGUGGAAUUCCUAGUGUAGCGGUGAAAUGCGCAGAUAUUAGGAGGAAUACCGGUGGCGAAGGCGACUUUCUGGCCAUAAACUGACGCUGAGGUACGAAAGCGUGGGUAGCAAACAGG
rnacentral:rRNA from 1 species